CUUCAGAACCGAUUUACAGGUAGCUCAGGUACUUUCUAAUCUCACUGAUACCUUUAAUAUUGCUAUUGCAGAUUUUGAUUGUGAUAUUGGAUUUGAUUUCUAGCCUCCCAGCAUUGAACCUGAAAACACCCAGGUUCAUAUCCAAGCUGAUGUUUCCGUUUCAACAACUGAUUCUUCGUCAAACACAUCAACCGACACUACUCAUACACCAGUUGUUAGAAAGGUAGCCCGGAAACGGAGUGGGAGUGCAAUUCUGAGAGAACCCGCAGCUCUGUCUCAUAAGAAGCAAAGGGUGGCAGAACCGGAGACAACUGCAGCCACAUCCAUU
rnacentral:lncRNA from 1 species